rnacentral:snRNA from 1 species
GGAUGGAUGAAUGGAUGGAUGGAUCUGUCACUCCUCUGAUCACCAGAGUUGGCUGAGCCAACCUGGCUGGUUGGGCAGGUACCUCCCUCCUCUGUCACUCCAUUCCAUGUGUAUCCCUCUCAAAAUUUUAUGUGGUAUAGAUGAAGAAAAUGACCUUUCCAAAUUUAUGUUUUUUCUGUUAUCUGGUUAGAUUAGCUCUGGCUUAGAUACAUAUAUUCAUAUGUCACAUUUGCUAGCUAAGUCAAAAUAAAUUCCAUGAAAAAAAUACAGUAUGGUUUU